rnacentral:lncRNA from 1 species
ACUAUUGAAUGCAGGGGAGAUAAUUAAGGAAGAAGAGCAGGCAUUGCUUUUGUUGUCUUCACUAUCCAGAUCCUAUAAAUCAUUGGUGCGGUUAAUGCUAGCAGCAAAAAGCACACUGCAGUUAAAUGAGGUGAUGAAAGUUUUGAAAGAGAAUCAUUGGAUGAUGGGUGAUGAAGAUUACCCCAAAGAGAGUCGGGUACUAGCUGC